rnacentral:rRNA from 1 species
AACGAACGCUGGCGGCAGGCUUAACACAUGCAAGUCGAGCGGGCACUUUCGGGUGUCAGCGGCGGACGGGUGAGUAACGCGUGGGUACGUUCUCUCUGGUUCGGAAUCACUCAGAGUGACUUUAGCUCAUACCGGAUCCUCCCUGUUGAUGAAAGAUUUGCUGCCGGAGGAUCGGCGCGCGUCUGAUUAGCUAGUUGGUGAGGUGACGGCUCACCAAGGCGACGAUCAGUAGCUGGUCUGAGAGGAUGAUCAGCCACACUGGGACUGAGACACGGCCCAGACUCCUACGGGAGGCAGCAGUGGGGAAUAUUGGACAAUGGGCGCAAGCCUGAUCCAGCCAUGCCGCGUGAGUGAUGAAGGUCUUAGGGUUGUAAAGCUCUUUUAUCCGGGAAGAUAAUGACGGUACCGGAGGAAUAAGCCCCGGCUAACUUCGUG